GACGUAGGGCGCGAGCGUUGUCCGGAUUUAUUGGGCGUACAGAGCUCGUAGGCGGCUUGUUGCGUCGACUGUGAAAACCCGCGGCUUAACUGCGGGCUUGCAGUUGAUACGGGCAGGCUAGAGUUCGGUAGGGGAGACUGGAAUUCCUGGUGUAGCGGUGAAAUGCGCAGAUAUCAGGAGGAACACCGGUGGCGAAGGCGGGUCUCUGGGCCGAUACUGACGCUGAGGAGCGAAAGCGUGGGGAGCGAACAGG
rnacentral:rRNA from 1 species